rnacentral:rRNA from 1 species
AUUGAACGCUGGCGGCAUGCCUUACACAUGCAAGUCGAACGGCAGCACGGGUGCUUGCACCUGGUGGCGAGUGGCGAACGGGUGAGUAAUACAUCGGUACAUGUCCUUUAGUGGGGGAUAGCCCGGCGAAAGCCGGGUUAAUACCGCAUACGAUCUACGGAUGAAAGCGGGGGACCUUCGGGCCUCGCGCUGUAGGGUUGGCAGAUGGCGGAUAAGCUAGUGUGUGGGGUAAAGUCCUACCAAGGCGACGAUCAGUAGCUGGUGUGAGAGGACGACCAGCCACACUAGGACGGAAACACGGCCCAGACGCCUAAGGGAGGGAGCAGUGGGGAAUGUUGGACAGUAGGCGAAAGCCUGAUCCAGCAACGGCGCGUGUGUGAAGGAGGCGUUCGGGUUGUAAAGCACUUUUGUCCGGAAAGAAAUCCUUGGCCCUAAUACGGUCGGGGGAUGACGGUACCGGAAGAAUAAGCACCGGCUAACUACGUG